AGCGCCUCGCGGGGGCGGGAAGGAGAGAGAGAGCGGGGGCUGCUGUGCGGAGUGCCGCCUCGGGAGCGGGCAGCGCGAGGGAAACUCCUCGCCCCGUUCGUGAGCCGAAGGGACCGCUUUGCGCUAGCGAGAAGCGGGUGUUCCUGGCUCGUAACCAUCCCUCGUCGUGGUGAGAGCGCUACCGCCGGUUGAUACUGAAUCAACUCCACGAGGUGUGUGGGCAGCUGCCUUGCUUUGUAAACAUAGUUGCAACCUCGCUAAGAACGCCGUGAGGCUUCGGCAGCUGCGUGUGUGAGGGCUGCGCAGCGCUGGAGCCCGGUAAACGUGUCUGCCUCACAGUGUUUACUCUCUGCAAAAUCCCAGCAGAACGAGUUAUCAGAAAAUGGAUGAAAGAAUGCCCUCUAGAGGCAGAAUUCAGCUGAAUAAAAUUCCCAGAUACAGAGAAGAAGAAUUGGAGAACAUAAACAUUACAGCCAUAUGGAGAAGAGUUGGCAUUGCUCAAGCCUCGUGUAAAUACAAACAAGGAAAUGCUGCCUUCUAUGAUGCCUGUUAUAGCAUGAAACUGUAUGAAUUUCAUCCAUGAUUUCUGACAUUUGAUCUUCGUAUAGGAGCAGAGGAUGCCAAGAGAAGAGGAGCCUCGUGUGAGACCUCAGCGGGUAGCUUCUAUCCUCCCUCAUUCUGCUUCAACAGGAGCAAGCAGGAUGAGUGCUUCUCACUACCAAGAUGUUGGAGCACUGCACACGUGCUGGGACUUUUACCAAGGUGGACAAAGAGAAUGGACUCCUAAGAGAGCUCAGGACCAAGAAGAUGAGAUGAAUUCAUGGACUUUUGGAUAAUACACAGCUGAGACAGUCUACCAUGGAAGCAACUCCUACCACUUUGGAUAACACACACUGAGGAAGAUAUAGUCAUUUUUGGUGUCCCAGAGAAACAGCUGCAGUCCUCAGAGGGUUGUUAUGAGGAUGGUUUCAACACUGCUGCCUCUUUUUGGUAAGACGUUUUAUUUCUUGCUGUGAAAUUGUUUAUGUUCAGGGCAAAAGUUGGUCUGUUCUCAUGUGAUAAUCCCACAAAGACUUGGCAUAGAAGGAAGCAACAAUGGAAUGAGUUAUAAUUGUUUGUGUUGCUUUCUGAAGGAUAUAAAUAAGCAUAUAUUGCUAUUGUGUGUUUCAAGAAUAGUGUUGUAAAGCAGUCUUCGCUACAGCUAUUAUUUUGAAUCUCUUCUAGAAAAUGCCAACUGUAUACAUUGCCUUUUAAUCCUGUGCUUCUUCAGUAGUGGACCUCAAAUUGAUCUGAUGACUAGAAAGUGGAUUUAAUGUCUGAUUUGAAGCAGCUGUUUGUUUGACUCUGAACGGAGCAGUAAUGAUUAAGGGUUGUUAUCAGUUGACUGUCAAAUGGUUUAAGUGACUUGAGAUUUUUGGAUUACCGGUAGAUUUUUGUGUGGACUCCUUGGCACGUAAUGGUUGACAUCCUUACUGGCCUUCUCUGGCCAGUUUGACAUGCCAUGCACCUCUUAGCUCACAUGUGAGGUAUAUUGGCAAAGUGUGCGUGUGGGUAUCUGUGUUUUAACAUGGCUUGUAUUUUUUCUGUUGUUUCCAUGCAUGAUGUCUUUUAGCAACAUCAAAGUAUCCUUUGCAAAGAUUCUAUUCUUAUGUUUACAAACUAAUGAAGAAGCUCUACUUCUAGAGUUGUUCUAGAAGUGUUAUUAACUGAAAUGUGUAAAUAAGGAAGCAAUCUGAAGAACAAGAAGCUCAGUUGAUGGUAGUUUAAUUGAAAGCACUGCUUAAACAAAAGGAAGGGGGCACAGCUAACAAAAUGGAAAAGGGAAAAUCGGUAGAAAAGUAACAGUAGUUGUAAGCUGCUGUGAAACAACACAGACUAAAGAAAAUUGUGUUUAUGUUUUGGGUUUUGUUUUUGUUGCUAGUUUAUUGUUUUUAUAAUGAAUCACACAGAAAUGUAAGAGAAACCAGCAGCAAAGACCUGCAGUGAGAUACUGUGUAGAUUUGUAACGCAGUGCAAAUGCACACAAGUGUUAAAAUACAUUGUCCUAUUUUGAUUAGAGACUCAUGGCUACAACCUGGCUUAUCUCCUUACAUCUCAUACCAAGCAUGUAAGUCUGCAGAGCAUAAAACUGGCUGUACAUUUUGCUUGAGCACACUUGCAAUCCAUCUUGUAAAAAAAAAAAAAAAAAAAAAAAAAAAAAAAAAAAAACCCACAAAAAAACACACCAACCCUCGCAGCCAUGGGAAUAGUCACAGCCUUGUUAAUUUUCAGAAGUCCCCAGUGGGACAUCAUUUUCUUUUAUCUUUUCACAGAUAGCCCGUAGAAUCUUAUGCAUCUUGUGCUGGUUUGGUAUUGAGUGGGCUAUAGUUAUGUAUUAUUUAACACUUUGGCCAAGCCUUGGUUUCAUGAACAAUUCAUCUUCUGCUGUGUGCAUCUGCUCUAGUGAGUAAUGAAGGCGACCAGCCUACGAUUGUGAAGUGCCCCGGGUUCUCUCUCUUACCUAAUUCUGCUUAACGGCAUUUUGAGCUAAUUUUUCUCCUGCCUUUCCUUUGAGAUAAUUCUUUUCUCAGAUGCUGAAUAAUGUCUUCAUCUUACGUAUUGCCAUGACAGUGUCCAUAGGGAAGCUACAAAGCUCGCUAAUGCUGUCACACCCUGUAUUUACUGUUAGAAAUCCUGGUAAUGCAAAGUGCCUGGGGUCAAAGGGGCUACAGAUUUUAGUUUAUAUUUACAGGGAUCCUACUAGCUCUUCUGAUUUAUUGGUUUUUGUGAUCAGUUGGAUAAAUGAAGAUAUUCUGGAACCAUACAUGAAAUACUAAUCUUUUCAGCUUCGUCAUGAACCUUUGCUAAGUGCUAGGACAUUAUAUAAUAGUCUGUUGUUCAGCUAUUCCUCAGUUUUCAGAGGAAAAAAUAAUGUUUCAAAAUUAACUUCCUUAGGCUCUGUUUUUAUGGAAUAUGAGCAGUAUAUUUGCCUAACCUCCGCAGCUCAGAAUUUUCAGAGGGUUAGUCAAGGUAAAAUUGACAAUGUCUAUAUAAAAUGAUGACUAUGCUGAGUAUUUCUUAACUUGCCAGGAAUGGUGAUGACGUGGGGCUUUUUAAAAGCGUGUGUGUGUUUGUUUUUGUUGUUGUGCUUGAGCAAAGGCUCAAGCUUUUGUUGAGGUUUUUUGCCUACCUUCUUUGAUAGACUUCCUGCAUUGCCUGUCCAAAUAUAUUUGCUGCUGUGUGAGAGAUUUCUGUUAUAUCAUUCUAUAAGUUUCUCUCCUUCCAGAAUGAAAUAUCAAGCUGAGGCUAAACUGUAAAAAUAAUGUGUAAACCCAAUUAGGUUAGAUUUCAACUGGGGCUUAUUGGUUAAACUGUAGGAGAGACAUGUUCAGUUUGUACUCUCUGGACAGAGUGUGUACAUCUCACUUAAAAUGGAUGAAAGUAUAUUGAUUUGUGCACAUUGAGAACAGGGCCCUUGCUUUAGCUCAGCAGCUUCAUGGGUCUUGAGUUGGACAGACUUCUCUGUAUGAAUUAACUGCAGUAAGAAGAGGGGGGGAAAGGGAGUUCAUCCUAAUGUUAGUAUUUGUCAGUGUCUCUUUGCAGAGUACUAAAAUGACAAGGAUUGGUUCAGUGACCAUCUUGUAUGGUAUGUUGACACUGAAAAGCAUAACACUGCCACUGCAUACUUCUGCUUUCCGUUCCUUGUUUCUGUAUCAGCACAGCACGCAUCUACUCAUGCACACGACAUACAAUUUGUGCCAUUAAUGAAACUGCAGGAAAAUGACUCAGGUGUGGCUUAAAAGGAGGUGAAAAUGCAUGCAUCCAUACAAGUGUGUGUUAGGAAGAUGGGAUUUGCAAUAUUUUUGUUUUAUAAGUAAACUUUUACUCUUUUUUUUUUUUUACUGAACAGUUAAGAAAAUAAAAAAAUUAAUCGCCUAACACCAUGUGAGGUGAUGUUCAGAGCAGCAUAGGCUGUUCUAAUGGCUGAUUUUAAUAAUAAAAGACAACAGGGGACUAAAAGGUGUGGUGUGGUAAGCUGAGAAACACAUUCCUUUCCCCAGAGGGUGUACUUAGCUUUGUGCCUUUGAUCACUUGAGAAGUACCAUCAGAGUGCAAAAUGGCAGGCACUAGGGAACAUUACGGCAAUUAUAAGGUGAUCGUUUUUAAAAAAUCAAAAGAAGUUUGAACUUAUUUGGGAGCUUUUUCCCAUUCAAGUCUGCUUGCAUCUGAACGGUAAGAUGCUGUAUUAGAUAAAUAUGCACACUUCAGUGGGACUGUUCUUCAGAUAUUGACUCCGAAGUUAGCUCUGGUGCUGAACAAUCUGUACAGAACAGGC
ensembl:lncRNA